CAGGUUAUCAAUACAAGAUUUUAGGACACAUCUUAACUGAAGCAGUAUAAGUACUUCACUUUGAGAACUAAGGUUUAAGAUUCCACAUAUAAGAGAUGUCUUAUGAUACCUGGCCUUCUCUGACUUUACUCAGUAUGACAUUCUGGUCUAAAAAGAAGUUUUGAUUGUUCUCUCCGGACAAUGGAACUCAAAAGAAAACAAUCCCAAGAAGGAGAUGCUUAAUUUUGCUUGUGUGUUAGAAGAUAAAAGGCAGCAGUAAGGAGACAUUCAAGACGCAUAACAACAGUAGAGAAGACAUGACUUUGGGGCAAGAAAUGACAAGUUGUAACUCUGAAGUUAUUUCCCCAUGAGAGAAGUAGGAGGUGAGGUGAAGAUAAAAUAACC